rnacentral:lncRNA from 1 species
AUCUGCUUUCUUUCUGUUCCAGAGCAGCGUUCGGACCCGUUGGAUCGUGAAUCCCACGUAAGCAGCGUUCGGACCCGUUGGAUCGUGAAUCCCACGUAAGGUACCUGCCCUCAGAAGAUUUGAACUUUCUACUUGGACACCUAACACCCACAGUCCUCCAGAAAACACAAGGACAAACCCUACUGUGAAGCAGUGGAGACUGGAGUCCUGCAUUUGAUGAACUUUCUUUUUAUGUGUUGGAUUCUGAUUUUAUAUUCAUUUCCAUUCAUGUGGACUCUGAAGAGUUAAACUCACCAAGGACACUUGAAGAAGUCACGUCCAGGGAUCACUGUCAUCACAAAUGGAGAAAAGGCCAAAGUCUUUCCAUGCUGCCUCACCAGAAAAGGACUCAGUUGAGAUAUUUUACAGCUGAGAAGGAAAUUAUGCAGCCUGUAGGAUAAAUUCCUCUCCUGGCAGAUUGAGUGGAUGUAGCACCAGAAGCUCCCAGAAUAAUCAGAACUU